rnacentral:rRNA from 1 species
CGGGAGGCAGCAGUGGGGAAUCUUGGACAAUGGGGGCAACCCUGAUCCAGCCAUGCCGCGUGAGUGAAGAAGGCCCUAGGGUCGUAAAACUCUUUCGCCUGUGAUGAUAAUGACAGUAGCAGGUAAAGAAACCCCGGCUAACUCCGUGCCAGCAGCCGCGGUAAUACGGAGGGGGUUAGCGUUGUUCGGAAUUACUGGGCGUAAAGCGCACGUAGGCGGAUUAGAAAGUUAGAGGUGAAAUCCCGGGGCUCAACCCCGGAACUGCCUUUAAAACUACUAGUCUAGAGUUCGAGAGAGGUGAGUGGAAUUCCGAGUGUAGAGGUGAAAUUCGUAGAUAUUCGGAGGAACACCAGUGGCGAAGGCGGCUCACUGGCUCGAUACUGACGCUGAGGUGCGAAAGUGUGGGGAGCAAACAGGAUUAGAUACCCUGGUAGUCCACACCGUAAACGAUGAAUGCCAGUCGUCGGGUAGUAUACUAUUCGGUGACACACCUAACGGAUUAAGCAUUCCGCCUGGGGAGUACGGUCGCAAGAUUAAAACUCAAAGGAAUCGACGG